ACGCUGGCGGCACGCCUAACACAUGCAAGUCGAACGAAGUAGCAAUACUUAGUGGCAGACGGGUGAGUAACAUGUAGGUAUCUGCCCUUUGGCCUGGAAUAACACGAGGAAACUUGUGCUAAUACCGGAUAAGUCUUUACGGAGAAAGCUUUAUGCACCAUUGGAUGAGCCUGCACUUGAUUAGUUUGUUGGUGGGGUAAUGGCCUACCAAGACUGUGAUCAAUAGCUGAUUUGAGAGGAUGAUCAGCCACAUUGGGACUGAGACACGGUCCAAACUCCUACGGGAGGCAGCAGUAGGGAAUCUUGCACAAUGGAGGAAACUCUGAUGCAGCGAUGCCGCGUGAGUGAAGAAGGCCUUUGGGUUGUAAAGCUCUUUCGUCGGGGAAGAAAAUGACUGUACCCGAAUAAGAAGGUCCGGCUAACUUCGUGCCAGCAGCCGCGGUAAUACGAAGGGACCUAGCGUAGUUCGGAAUUACUGGGCUUAAAGAGUUCGUAGGUGGUUAAAAAAGUUGGUGGUGAAAUCCCAGAGCUUAACUCUGGAACUGCCAUCAAAACUUUUUAGCUAGAGUAUGAUAGAGGAAAGCAGAAUUUCUAGUGUAGAGGUGAAAUUCGUAGAUAUUAGAAAGAAUACCGAUUGCGAAGGCAGCUUUCUGGAUCAUUACUGACACUGAGGAACGAAAGCAUGGGUAGCGAAGAGGAUUAGAUACCCUCGUAGUCCAUGCCGUAAACGAUGUGUGUUAGACGUUGGAAAUUUAUUUUCAGUGUCGCAGCGAAAGCGAUAAACACACCGCCUGGGGAGUACGACCGCAAGGUUAAAACUCAAAUGAAUUGACGGGGACCCGCACAAGUAGUGGAGCAUGUGGUUUAAUUCGAAGAUACGCGCAGAACCUUACCAACACUUGACAUGUUCGUCGCGACUCUAAGAGAUUAGAGUUUUCGGUUCGGCCGGACGAAACACAGGUGCUGCAUGGCUGUCGUCAGCUCGUGUCGUGAGAUGUUGGGUUAAGUCCCGCAACGAGCGCAACCCUCACUUUUAGUUGCCAUCAUUAAGUUGGGCACUCUGAAAGAACUGCCAGUGAUAAGCUGGAGGAAGGUGGGGAUGACGUCAAGUCCUCAUGGCCCUUACGUGUUGGGCUACACACGUGCUACAAUGGUAUCUACAACAGGAAGCAAAACAGCGAUGUUAAGCAAAUCCCCAAAAGAUACCUCAGUUCGGAUUGCACUCUGCAACUCGAGUGCAUGAAGCUGGAAUUACUAGUAAUCGUGGAUCAGCGUGCCACGGUGAAUGCGUUCCCGGGUCUUGUACACACCGC
rnacentral:rRNA from 1 species